GACGAACGCUGGCGGCGUGCUUAACACAUGCAAGUCGAACGGAAAGGCCCUGCUUUUGUGGGGUGCUCGAGUGGCGAACGGGUGAGUAACACGUGAGUAACCUGCCCUUGACUUUGGGAUAACUUCAGGAAACUGGGGCUAAUACCGGAUAGGAGCUCCUGCUGCAUGGUGGGGGUUGGAAAGUUUCGGCGGUUGGGGAUGGACUCGCGGCUUAUCAGCUUGUUGGUGGGGUAGUGGCUUACCAAGGCUUUGACGGGUAGCCGGCCUGAGAGGGUGACCAGCCACAUGGGGACUGAGAUACGGCCCAGACUGCUACGGGAGGCAGCAGUGGGGAAUAUUGCACAAUGGGCGGAAGCCUGAUGCAGCAACGCCGCGUGCGGGAUGACGGCCUGCGGGUUGUAAACCGCUUUCGCCUGUGACGAAGCGUGAGUGACGGUAAUGGAUGAAGAAGCACCGGCUAACUACGUG
rnacentral:rRNA from 1 species